UUGAACGCUGGCGGCAGGCUUAACACAUGCAAGUCGAGCGGAGAGAGGUAGCUUGCUACUGAUCUUAGCGGCGGACGGGUGAGUAAUACUUAGGAAUCUGGCUAUUAGUGGGGGACAACAUUUCGAGAGGGAUGCUAAUACCGCAUACGUCCUACGGGAGAAAGCAGGGGAUCUUCGGACCUUGCGCUAAUAGAUGAGCCUAAGUCGGAUUAGCUAGUUGGUGGGGUAAAGGCCUACCAAGGCGACGAUCUGUAGCGGGUCUGAGAGGAUGAUCCGCCACACUGGGACUGAGACACGGCCCAGACUCCUACGGGAGGCAGCAGUGGGGAAUAUUGGACAAUGGGGGGAACCCUGAUCCU
rnacentral:rRNA from 1 species